GGAGCCACAACUUAAGAAGACAUAUGAAGGUGGGGUGACAGGAAUGUGAGAGACACCCAGCAACUUCAUUUUGAAGAGUCACGAAGGAAUGGAGGGUGUUUAGCCAAGAAGGGAAAAGGCAUGGGGAGCUGUCUCGUACAAUUUGAAGGAAGAAGUUAUAUGAAUGAAAUCAACCACUCCAAAGCCAACCAGAUGGCAGAAUUAGAAGCGCAGAUCCUGCUUGAUCUUCUUUACAAAAAUCAGGCAUUUUGCAGAAAGUUCUGCUUGGGAUGAAAGGCAGAACCAAAUGACCACUACAGAACCCUCCAAAUGGGAGACCUCUUACCUGGACCACACUUUGGAGAAACUACCCACACAUUUUCAUAUUCAGACUGGCAAAGUGAUAUGAAAGAAGGGCCUUUGGUUACAACGUAGGCUGUAAAAUCAUGUUGAAGUCAAACCAAAUCAAAAGAGCCCAUAGCAUUUAUGGCUCUUCCUUCCUCUUCUUGUUGGCUCGGAUACACAAGUAUUUAUUUCCUCCCCAGGGUUCCUAACAGUGGAUGGAGAGUAACACGGUCUGCUUCAGCACUGCCCCAGCGCCAUGGGUCAUGCUCCUCCAACCGCAGAGUUAGGAGCAUUCAUGGAAAAUGUCACUCCGAAGAUAGCAACACUGCCUGAGUCACGGUUUGAUUGAAUCUGUAGAAUAAUGUAAUAGGAACUAUGUUCUCCACAAAAGUCACAAGGCAAUAAUGACAACAGGAGUCGGGGCCGAAAGAUGCCAAACAUUCUGUCCAAGUCAAUGAGGCAAACAGACAGGUUAAUGCACUCAGUGCUGCAGGCAUUGACUUCCUUGGAGGGAAUGGCAAUUUCCUGAAAAACUGCAGGGAUAAAAUCUAUUGUUUAUAGUAAACGUGGCCAAAUGUAUUGUAGCUCUGGGGGGCUAAGUGGGCCAUCAAAAGAACAACAAUGCAG